rfam:Oryza nivara chromosome 3, whole genome shotgun sequence.
AAUAAGUACAGUUUUGCACUGUUCAUGUUUAACUUUUGACCGUUCGUCUUAUUUAAAAUUUUUUUAUGAUUAGUAUUUUUGUUGUUAUUAGAUGAUAAAACAUGAACAGUACUUUAUGUGUGACUAAUUUUUUUCAAAUUUUUCAUAAAUUUUUUAAAUAAGACGAACGGUCGAACGUCUGACACGAUUCCCCACGACUGCACUUAUU